rnacentral:rRNA from 1 species
AACGCGAAGAACCUUACCUGGGCUCGAAAUGUUGUGGACCGGGGUAGAAAUAUCCCUUCCCCGCAAGGGGCCGCAAUAUAGGUGCUGCAUGGCUGUCGUCAGCUCGUGUCGUGAGAUGUUGGGUUAAGUCCCGCAACGAGCGCAACCCUUAUCCCCAGUUGCCAUCAUUAAGUUGGGCACUCUGGUGAAACCGCCUCGGAUAACGGGGAGGAAGGUGGGGAUGACGUCAAGUCCUCAUGGCCUUUAUGUCCAGGGCUACACACGUGCUACAAUGGCCGGUACAAACCGUCGCAAACCCGUGAGGGGGAGCUAAUCGGAAAAAGCCGGCCUCAGUUCGGAUCGCAGUCUGCAACUCGACUGCGUGAAGCUGGAAUCGCUAGUAAUCGCGGAUCAGAAUGCCGCGGUGAAUACGUUCCCGGGCCUUGUA